rnacentral:rRNA from 1 species
GACGAACCGUGCGAACGUUGUUCGGAUUCACUGGGCUUAAAGGGCGCGUAGGCGGACUCGCCAGUCUGUGGUGAAAGCCCCCAGCUCAACUGGGGAAGUGCCGUGGAUACUGCGAGUCUGGAGGAGGGUAGGGGCAUCUGGAACGCUGGGUGGAGCGGUGAAAUGCGCAGAUAUCAGGAGGAACACCAAUGGCGAAGGCAGCUCGCUGGGACGGUACUGACGCUGAGACGCGAAAGCGUGGGGAGCAAACAGG